ACGGUGAAUUUCCUUUUAUUUAAAAGUGGUUUCAAACCCAUCCAAGGACGAGUCGAGUCAAGAUAAGUCCAGCUUAGGACAUGUCGACUGUGUCCGCUCAAAGACGAGUCAUGUCGAGACUAGUUUUGGACAUUUCACAAAUUUUGUAGUUUAGAAUUUAAAUUUUUGAAAUCUAAGAGUAAGAUAUUGGUCCUUUUAAGUUCAAAAACUAAAUUUGUCAAUAAAAAAGGAGAUUUCCCAUGUUUUCAAAGUGGUUCAUAAUUGGUGCAAAGAAAAGUCGAGUCGUGUCGAGUCCAGAUUUUGAUAUCUUGAAUUUAGCAACUUUAGAAAAUGACAAGUGAAGAAAUUUUUGGACAAAAUAGUGUGAUUUUAUGAUUGCAUCUCUCACUAUGAAAUAAUGUGCAGAAAAAGCACCAAAAGAACGCUUCGGACGCGAUCUCAGGUUGGGGUACCCUGAGAAAGGUUGUCAGGGUAUUGCCCAUGGAAGCCGAGCCAAGGACCUAUCUGAUGAGGGGUCAUGGUCGAGGAUUGCACGAGCGGUGAAAAUUUGCGGGGGAAAAAAACAUCGUCGAACGCGAUUUACUCGAAGAGCUCCUGCGAAGCCCUUACGGGUCCGUCGGGCCCAAAACUCUCGUCACCCAAGAUAAUUUUCGAAGGUGCACAACCUGCGCCGGGAUUCAUCCGCGGUUGAAAAAAAGCAGGCACGCGCGCCAAAUUAUAAAUUUUAAGUAGCGUAAAUUUCGUUAAUUUCAGCCAUUUUGUAUUAGAUUUAAUCGAUUUAAUGAGAUCGGAAAUAGGAUAGCUGCAUGCAGCUGCAUUAUUUCCUCAUCUUCGGAAAUCCCGCCACCUCGCCAGAAUAGUCGAAGCCGCGAUUCAAACUUUGAAACUUUUGAAAAAACACGCGCAUUAUCGCACUAGCUGCAGCGAGCCAAUGAGCGCGGUCCGGUCACUUCACUUGCGUGCUGCUGCUGCGCUGUAGACGAGAGUUAGUCAUUAUCACUAGUCAGCCGAGCCGACCGGAGCAUGCGGAGACGCCGGCAAACCGCGCGAGUGCCAAAGAAAAGCCGUUGGAUGUCGGCUCGUCAAAUUUUACCCAUUUUCGGCCGAAUUUUCACCCUCGAGUCGACCAGCAAGAAGCCAAGGAUGCAGGACAAGCUGUUUUAUCCGCAAAUAACCCCAGACCCGUGCCCGCGGCUUGCGUGACAACAAUGCAACUCGUGUUAUGCUGCUUAGCGGAUGAUACUAACGCCCUGAAACUUGCGACCCCUUGCCCUGGCAUUGUGAUAUUUUCUGGUCUGAAGGAGGUGACACGCAAGGAGUCUAACCCGCCAAAUCCUCGCUCCCUAACCUGAGCCAUCCCCCGUCCCCCGUCAAAGCUGCUUGCCAAGUGCCGCGCCGCCAGCAGUCAAAGGUCGUGUUCGCUCCUAUGUAAAAGGUUCUCAAAGAAAAAUUUCCUCCUCUUGUCAAUAUUAUGUGUAAACGUUUUAUGAAUUAUUAAACUUAGCACCUUGAACCU